GAUGGUAGACGCGCAUUAGUGAGAGAGAUGUGAGGAUUGUAGAUGAUAGCAGACCGUUUGGAUACAUUAAUUAGAAGUAUGAAGAAAAAAGGAAAAGGAUCAUGAUAAAAUUAAUUGGAGAUAGAGAGAUGAGGAAUUGUAAAUGGCAUGGGACCAUAGAUGCAUUAAUUGGAAGCUUGGUAGUGGGACCUUUUAGUUACAUUAAUUAUUAAUUAGAAGUAUGAAGAAAAAAGGAAAAGGAUCAUGAUCAAAUUAAUUGGAGAUAGAGAGGUGAGGAAUUGUAAAUGGCAUGGGACCAUAGAUGCAUUAAUUAGAAGCUUGGUAGUGGGACCUUUUAGUUACAUUAAUUAUUAAUUAUAUUCAUUAAUUAAAAGUUUAGUCGAGAGAAGAAAAAAGAGUUAUAUGCUCCCGAGGGUGAAGGAGAAUUUGUCAUGUGGUAAAAAAAUAUUAAAGAAUCAUAUAGAUUAUUAUUAUUAGAAGAUUAAUUAAUAUAUUAAUAGAUAAUAGAUAGAUUAAGUAUUUUUUAACAUGAAAAGUAUUAAAAAAAUAGUUAGAUCCUAAAAAAGUAUUAUAAUUCUUGGAUAAAGAUAAAAAAAUUAUAGACAAAUAGUUUAUUUUUUCCUUUUUUUUAUGAGAGCGGAGGGAUGGAGAGUGAGGUUGAGUUGAGAGAGGACAGGUGAAAGUAGAAAGGCAUGGCCAUAGUGGUGAAAACAGAUUGGAUGCAGUUUGGCAGUUGAUAAAAUUGUAUUUAUUUUUCUUUGAGAUUAAAAAUUCGAAUGCAUCAUAUAUAUGGAAUGCUAAAAU
rnacentral:lncRNA from 1 species